GACGAACGCUGGCGGCGUGCUUAACACAUGCAAGUCGAACGGAAAGGCCUCUUUCGGGGGGUACUCGAGUGGCGAACGGGUGAGUAACACGUGAGUAACCUGCCCUUGACUUUGGGAUAACUUCAGGAAACUGGGGCUAAUACCGGAUAGGAGCUCCUGCUGCAUGGCGGGGGUUGGAAAGUUUCGGCGGUUGGGGAUGGACUCGCGGCUUAUCAGCUUGUUGGUGGGGUAGUGGCUUACCAAGGCUUUGACGGGUAGCCGGCCUGAGAGGGUGACCGGCCACAUUGGGACUGAGAUACGGCCCAGACUCCUACGGGAGGCAGCAGUGGGGAAUAUUGCACAAUGGGUGGAAGCCUGAUGCAGCAACGCCGUGUGCGGGAUGACGGCCUUCGGGUUGGAAACCGCUUUCGCUCAUGACGAAGCUUUGUGUGACGGUAGUGGGUAAAGAAGCACCGGCUAACUACGUG
rnacentral:rRNA from 1 species